CAGCACCUCAAGUGGUCAGGAUGAUUCUUGGGCCUAAAGCAUCCGUAGCCGGCGCUGUAAGUUUUCGGUUAAAUCUGUACGCUCAACGUACAGGCUGCCGGGAAUACUGCAGCGCUAGGGAGUGGGAGAGGUAGACGGUACUCGGUAGGAAGGGGUAAAAUCCUUUGAUCUAUUGAUGACCACCUGUGGCGAAGGCGGUCUACCAGAACACGUCCGACGGUGAGGGAUGAAAGCUGGGGGAGCAAACCGGAUUAGAUACCCGAGUAGUCC
rnacentral:rRNA from 1 species